rnacentral:rRNA from 1 species
AGUCGAGGGGCAGCACAACUUUCGGGUUGGUGGCGACCGGCGGACGGGUGCGUAACGCGUAUGCAACCUACCUUCAGCAGGGGUAUAGCCCGUGGAAACAUGGAUUAAUCCCCCAUAAUGCAGGGGUCCCGCAUGGGACUAUUUGCUAAAGUCCCGAUGCAAAUCGGGAUGGCUGAAGAUGGGCAUGCGUCUGAUUAGCUAGUUGGUGAGGUAACGGCUCACCAAGGCGACGAUCAGUAGGGGUUCUGAGAGGAUGAUCCCCCACACUGGUACUGAGACACGGACCAGACUCCUACGGGAGGCAGCAGUAGGGAAUAUUGGGCAAUGGGCGAGAGCCUGACCCAGCCAUGCCGCGUGCAGGAUGACGGCCUUCUGGGUUGUAAACUGCUUUUAUCAGGGAAGAAAGGGGCGCUGCGGCGCCAGUUGACUGUACCUGAAGAAUAAGCACCGGCUAACUCCGUGCCAGCAGCCGCGGUAAUACGGAGGGUGCAAGCGUUGUCCGGAUUUAUUGGGCUUAAAGGGUGCGUAGGCGGAUUAUUAAGUCAGUGGUGAAAGACUGCGGCUCAACCGUAGCAGUGCCAUUGAUACUGGUAAUCUUGAGUACAGUGGAGGUAGGCGGAAUUUAUGGUGUAGCGGUGAAAUGCAUAGAUACCAUAAAGAACACCGAUAGCGUAGGCAGCUUACUACGCUGUAACUGACGCUGAGGCACGAAAGCGUGGGGAGCGAACAGGAUUAGAUACCCUGGUAGUCCACGCUGUAAACGAUGAAGACUCGCUGUUGGCGAUAUACUGUCAGUGGCCAAGCGAAAGCGUUAAGUCUUCCACCUGGGGAGUACGAUCGCAAGAUUGAAACUCAAAGGAAUUGACGGGGGUCCGCACAAGCGGUGGA